rnacentral:rRNA from 1 species
AUUGAACGCUGGCGGCAGGCUUAACACAUGCAAGUCGAGCGGAGUGAUGGUGCUUGCACUAUCACUUAGCGGCGGACGGGUGAGUAAUGCUUAGGAAUCUGCCUAUUAGUGGGGGACAACAUCUCGAAAGGGAUGCUAAUACCGCAUACGUCCUACGGGAGAAAGCAGGGGAUCACUUGUGACCUUGCGCUAAUAGAUGAGCCUAAGUCGGAUUAGCUAGUUGGUGGGGUAAAGGCCUACCAAGGCGACGAUCUGUAGCGGGUCUGAGAGGAUGAUCCGCCACACUGGGACGGAGACACGGCCCAGACUCCUACGGGAGGCAGCAGUGGGGAAUAUUGGACAAUGGGGGGAACCCUGAUCUAGCCAUGCCGCGUGUGUGAAGAAGGCCUUAUGGUUGUAAAGUACUUUAAGCGAGGAGGAGGCUCUUUUGGUUAAUACCCAAGAUGAGUGGACGUUACUCGCAGAAUAAGCACCGGCUAACUCUGUGCCAGCCGCCGCCGUAA